UUAAGUUCAGGGGGUAUCCUUACCUGAUCUGAGGUCAAACCUUAGAAUAGUUUGAUUUUGACAAAGCUAUACAGAGUAACUAAGCUUGUUGUAUUUCUACUACGCUUGCUGCUAUGUAAACUUGCCAAUCAGUUUAAGAAGUGAACUGCUAGGCAGAUCAUCUUCCAAUACCAAGCAGAGGCUUGAGAUUAUACUGACGC
rnacentral:misc_RNA from 1 species